rnacentral:rRNA from 1 species
UUGGCCUUGACAUACUAAGAACUUUCCAGAGAUGGAUUGGUGCCUUCGGGAACUUAGAUACAGGUGCUGCAUGGCUGUCGUCAGCUCGUGUCGUGAGAUGUUGGGUUAAGUCCCGCAACGAGCGCAACCCUUUUCCUUAUUUGCCAGCGGGUAAUGCCGGGAACUUUAAGGAUACUGCCAGUGACAAACUGGAGGAAGGCGGGGACGACGUCAAGUCAUCAUGGCCCUUACGGCCAGGGCUACACACGUGCUACAAUGGUCGGUACAAAGGGUUGCUACCUCGCGAGAGGAUGCUAAUCUCAAAAAGCCGAUCGUAGUCCGGAUCGCAGUCUGCAACUCGACUGCGUGAAGUCGGAAUCGCUAGUAAUCGCGGAUCAGAAUGCCGCGGUGAAUACGUUCCCGGGCCUUGUACACACCGCCCGUCACACCAUGGGAGUUUGUUGCACCAGAAGUAGGUAGUCUAACCGCAAGGAGGACGCUUACCACGGUGUGGCCGAUGACUGGGGUGAAGUCGUAACAAGGUAAGCGUAGAUGA